GACGAACGCUGGCGGCGUGCUUAACACAUGCAAGUCGAACGGAAAGGCCCUGCUUUUGUGGGGUGCUCGAGUGGCGAACGGGUGAGUAACAAGUGGGUAACCUGCCCUUGACUUUGGGAUAACUUCAGGAAACUGGGGCUAAUACCGGAUAGGAGCUCCUGCUGCAUGGUGGGGGUUGGAAAGUUUCGGCGGUUGGGGAUGGACUCGCGGCUUAUCAGCUUGUUGGUGGGGUAGUGGCUUACCAAGGCUUUGACGGGUAGCCGGCCUGAGAGGGUGACCGGCCACAUUGGGACUGAGAUACGGCCCAGACUCCUACGGGAGGCAGCAGUGGAGAAUAUUGCACAAUGGGCGGAAGCCUGAUGCAGCAACGCCGCGUGCGGGAUGACGGCCUUCGGGUUGUAAACCGCUUUCGCCUGUGACGAAGCGUGAGUGACGGUAAUGGGUAAAGAAGCACCGGCUAACUACGG
rnacentral:rRNA from 1 species